rnacentral:lncRNA from 1 species
AGCUAAAGAGCCAAGAUUUGAAGCCAUGAAGGCCAUGGAAAACACAAAUUUGGGUCCAAUUGCUACUGUUUAAGUAGUAAUUUGCUUAAAAUUCACUGUUGUUUAUGUAACUUUACGAAUUGAUGUAUUAAGCUAGAGUAUUAGGGUCUAUUUGGCUUCUGUUUGUCAGCUUAUGAGUGUGUCUCACUAUUCGAUUGGUGUUUGAAAAUGUUCUUUUGUGUGUCAAACAGUAAAAGUAACCGAACUUUUUCCUGUUCAUCAAACAAUGUGUCUUCCUACAAUUUCUGUUGAAUUUUUCUGAAUUCCGACAGACUUAGCCAUGGAUGGUAGAAAAUCAACUCCGUGUUUGAAUAAUGUCAGCUUCCCCCUCUUCUUUCGUCUAUGUUUUGGGUAAAGCGGCUAAAUCCUAUGGAGAAAUUCGCUACGUGAAAGCUAAAAGCUAAGCUAAUCGAUCUAAGACACUCGACCAGGAGCUUCUACGCGGAUUAGACACCCACCUAGCCUACCAGGAGCAGAAGAAGAAGGAAGUGAGAGCGCAUCUUUAAAAAGGAGCGAGAUUGAUUGAUAAAAAGAGGUCGCCUAGAGAGGAUAGCGAGCAUGGCUUGGCUAGCUCGCGAGUCACUCGUGGCUUGUUAUUUAUUUAUCUGUCUAUAUAAAAAAUAAAAAAUCGAUAUUUUCAUUCCAAAAAGUAUUAAAAAGACAUAUUUAUUUUUAAGAAUACUUAUAAAGAUAUAAUAAC